CACUCCUGCGGGAGGCAGCAGUGGGGAAUAUUGGACAAUGGGCGCAAGCCUGAUCCAGCCAUGCCGCGUGAGUGAUGAAGGCCCUAGGGUUGUAAAGCUCUUUCACCGGUGAAGAUAAUGACGGUAACCGGAGAAGAAGCCCCGGCUAACUUCGUGCCAGCAGCCGCGGUAAUACGAAGGGGGCUAGCGUUGUUCGGAUUUACUGGGCGUAAAGCGCACGUAGGCGGACUAUUAAGUCAGGGGUGAAAUCCCGGGGCUCAACCCCGGAACUGCCUUUGAUACUGGUAGUCUUGAGUUCGAGAGAGGUGAGUGGAAUUCCGAGUGCAGAGGUGAAAUUCGUAGAUAUUCGGAGGAACACCAGUGGCGAAGGCGGCUCACUGGCUCGAUACUGACGCUGAGGUGCGAAAGCGUGGGGAGCAAACAGGAUUAGAAACCCCUGUAGUCCCAU
rnacentral:rRNA from 1 species